UACGUAGGGUGCGAGCGUUGUCCGGAAUUACUGGGCGUAAAGAGCUCGUAGGUGUUUUGUCGCGUUGUUCGUGAAAACUCACAACUCAAUUGUGGGCGUGCGGGCGAUACGGGCAGACUGGAGUACUGCAGGGGAGACUGGAAUUCCUGGUGUAGCGGUGGAAUGCGCAGAUAUCAGGAGGAACACCGGUGGCGAAGGCGGGUCUCUGGGCAGUAACUGACGCUGAGGAGCGAAAGCGUGGGGAGCGAACAGG
rnacentral:rRNA from 1 species